rnacentral:rRNA from 1 species
UACGUAGGGGGCAAGCGUUGUCCGGAAUCAUUGGGCGUAAAGCGCGCGUAGGCGGCCCGGUAAGUCCGCUGUAAAAGUCCAGGGCUCAACCCUGGAAAGCCGGUGGAUACUGUCGGGCUAGAGUCCGGAAGAGGCGAGUGGAAUUCCUGGUGUAGCGGUGAAAUGCGCAGAUAUCAGGAGGAACACCGGUGGCGAAGGUGGGUCUCUGGGCCGAUACUGACGCUGAGGAGCGAAAGCGUGGGGAGCGAACAGG